CGGUGUCAGCGUCCCAGUGCAUUUUUUUUUUUAAAUCUUUGCCCAAGUCAACCUUUCACUGGAAUCUCACGAUCAUCGGAAGUCUUAUUAAAAAAUGGAAAGUACUGAAUUAAACGAAAUGGAAAGUCUUCUACUUAAUGUUGAAAGACCAAUUUUCACCAAUCAAGAAAAAUUCGAUAAUAAUUUUCAAAAAAAUGGACCGUCUGAAAAAAAAAAAGGAAUGUUUGGCCAACUUAAGGCUAGUUGUUGCAGUCAAUGUUCUGCAAUGAAAUCGUCAAAAGAAUUUUGGUUUGGGAUGUUUCCAAUAAUUGGAUGGUUGUCCAAAUAUUCAUUGAAGGACCAGUUGUUGGGGGAUAUCAUUUCAGGAUGCACAGUUGCAGUCAUGCACAUACCACAAGGGAUGGGUUACGCUCUCUUAGGUGGUGUGUCCCCUAUUAUUGGAUUAUACAUGGCUUUUUUUCCUGUUUUAAUUUAUGUGUGCCUUGGAACU